UACGUAGGUCCCGAGCGUUGUCCGGAUUUAUUGGGCGUAAAGCGAGCGCAGGUGGUUUAUUAAGUCUGGUGUAAAAGGCAGUGGCUCAACCAUUGUAUGCAUUGGAAACUGAUAGACUUGAGUGCAGGAGAGGAGAGUGGAAUUCCAUGUGUAGCGGUGAAAAGCGUAGAUAUAUGGAGGAACACCGGUGGCGAAAGCGGCUCUCUGGCCUGUAACUGACACUGAGGCUCGAAAGCGUGGGGAGCAAACAGG
rnacentral:rRNA from 1 species